rnacentral:rRNA from 1 species
AGUGAACGCUGGCGGUAGGCCUAACACAUGCAAGUCGAACGGCAGCACAGUAAGAGCUUGCUCUUACGGGUGGCGAGUGGCGGACGGGUGAGGAAUACAUCGGAAUCUACUUUUUCGUGGGGGAUAACGUAGGGAAACUUACGCUAAUACCGCAUACGACCUACGGGUGAAAGCAGGGGAUCUUCGGACCUUGCGCGAUUGAAUGAGCCGAUGUCGGAUUAGCUAGUUGGCGGGGUAAAGGCCCACCAAGGCGACGAUCCGUAGCUGGUCUGAGAGGCUGAUCAGCCACACUGGAACUGAGACACGGUCCAGACUCCUACGGGAGGCAGCAGUGGGGAAUAUUGGACAAUGGGCGCAAUCCUGAUCCAGCCAUACCGCGUGGGUGAAGAAGGCCUUCGGGUUGUAAAGCCCUUUUGUUGGGAAAGAAAAGCAGCAGGUUAAUACCCCGCUGUUCUGACGGUACCCAAAGAAUAAGCACCGGCUAACUUCGUG